GACGAGGGACCCUAGCGUUGUUCGGAAUCAUUGGGCGUAAAGCGGAUGCAGGUGGCCUUGUAAGUCAGGUGUGAAAGCCCAGAGCUUAACUCUGGAAGUGCAUUUGAUACUGCGAUGCUUGAGUGCCGGAGAGGUUACUAGAAUUCCAGGUGUAGUGGUGAAAUACGUAGAUAUCUGGAGGAAUACCAGAGGCGAAGGCGGGUAACUGGCCGGACACUGACACUCAGAUCCGAAAGCGUGGGGAUCAAACAGG
rnacentral:rRNA from 1 species